AGAUGGGAGGAGGAAGAGAGGCAAAGAGUGAUUCACAGGCAGAGCCUAGUUUAUUUACCACAGUUUUUUGUUGCCUGGACACUUCUUUGUACACAUGGGUCGUAUCUUUUGUAUGAUAAUUACUGAUAGAGACAGACGUGACUCUGUAUUUAUAUUUCUUGCAGCCUGUUAACACUGUACCUCCUGCCUUUACAAACGGCUCUUCUGUGUUUCUGUCUCAUCGUUCUGCAGAUGAACAUUUGUCGCCCACUGUGAUCUCAGCACGUUUUCCUGGUUCUGGAGAGCAGAUCGAGCGUUGAUCUGAGUCCUGUGAUUUCCAGUAGUGAUUUAUUCCCAAGACAAAAUCAAAUUGUCCUCUGCUGCCGUGUUGUUGCACAAUGAAAACGAUGGAGGUGUCAGAAACGGUCCGGCCCUGGUUAUUGUCUCAGAUAUGACGCUAGUCUUAUCCUGUCCGCUUCUUUUUACUGUCUACAGUCCCAGAUCAACACAGCCCUGCCCUCCAGCACUAUCAGCAGCGGGAGCAGCAGAAACCCCUCAACAGCAACAUUUUACCCCAUCAGAUCUCUGCAUGGCCCUGACCAGGAGGGGAUUAAAGAAGAGUGGGGUGAGAGCCAGACUCAAGAGGCAGACACACAAACAACGAGCGCUGCCGUCCAUUAUCUUUGCUAAUGUGCUAAUGUGACAAGCUGCAAGCCUGCAUCAACCACUUCCAUGAGUACAGAACUGCCUCCGUUCUGGCAUUUACGGAAUCGUGGUUAAACAACAACGACGACAACAGCACGCUACACAUUGCUGGCUUUUCACCACCCCUUCAUCUGGACAUCUUGGCCCUGACAACAUCAGCAGUGGAGUCCUGAGGCACUGUGCAGGGUAACUAGGAAGUGUGUUCCGGACUCACUGUUAGGAUCCACUGAUUUAGUCACUGAUCAACCUUCAGUCACGUAGGAGGUCAGAGCUUCAUGUUUAUGGGAUUAAUGUGCAGUUUCAUUGAAUCUGUAUUUAUCUGUAAACAGGGUUCAUACGGGUGCAUGAAAUAUGUGAUGUUUGGUGCAGUUUUCCUGUUUUGUGGGGAAGAAAGGCUUUUUAAGUCAACCUAAGAUGAUUCGUUUUCAUUUUCACAUGGUCUUAGUGAGGUGAUGCAAAGUGAAACAUGCUUUCUGUUUGUUUUUUCGGCCAUGUGCUGGGAAAGCUUGAACAUGGACCUUGAAAGUGCUUAAAAAGUGCUUGAAUUGGAGCCAGAAAAAGGCGUAUGAACCCUUGAUUGGGAGGUGAUGGAGUCUGAAACCAUGUGAUCACUGUAAGCUCUGUGAUUUAUUACCUGAUGGACCAGCAACACCUUCACUGUGUUUAAAUGAGAAUGAAUCCAGCUUUACUUUAAUAUAGACGGCACUGUGCAAAAGUCUUGAGCCCUCGUUUCUUUACAUUUUGCAGGAGAAUUGGAAACGGGUGCAGCGAUUCACUGAAACGUGCAAAUAUUCAUUAAAAAUACAGAAUACGAGGCAAAAAUCAAGUCUUUACAGUUGUAACGAGCUUGAACGUGAAUGUUUGGUCUGACCUUCAUCCUUCAGCUCACUCUGAACUCUCUGAGCAGCUCUCUGUCGUCUCUGUGAGGACCUGCAGGAACACUUCUCCAGACUUCUUGAAGGACAUUCAAAGCUCUUCUGCCUUUUCUUGAUUAUGUUGAUGAUUCCACACUGUUUAUGUCCUGCCGGGCUUUGUGCUCUGGGAAUGCCAGACCAUGACUGAUAUUUUGUAGAUCAGAAUGCGUAGUUGUGAACUGA